UACGUAGGGUGCGAGCGUUGUCCGGAAUUAUUGGGCGUAAAGGGCUCGUAGGCGGUCCAUCACGUCGGGAGUGAAAAGCUGGGGCUUAACCCCAGUCCUGCUUCCGAUACGGGCAGACUAGAGGUAUGCAGGGGAGAACGGAAUUCCUGGUGUAGCGGUGAAAUGCGCAGAUAUCAGGAGGAACACCGGUGGCGAAGGCGGCUACCUGGACCGGUUCUGACGCUGAGGCGCGAAAGCGUGGGUAGCAAACAGG
rnacentral:rRNA from 1 species